rnacentral:lncRNA from 1 species
CACCAACUGAAAGAGAAUCUCAGAGAUGCUGGAAUGAAUUCAAAAGUCAGAGGAAACAUAGGAAACUACAGCUGGGAACCUGUUGAACAGCAAAUAAGAACAGCAGGAGAUGGAAAAUGUAUGAGGAGAAAAUUUUUUUUUUUAAGAAUUUCAGGAUUAAAAGACCUGGUAUCCUUUCUACCAUCAAGAAACAACAUGAUGUUUAGCACCAGACCAACAUACAGCUUCUCUACAGGAUUCAGAUUUCUUCACAAUAAGCAAUUCACAGGAAUAAAAAAUUCUCUGUAUAAAGAAUGAUACCACAGUUGGAAGACCUGAAACUUCCAUCAAAGAUAUGUCUUCAGAGUCCAACAUGUCUUCAGUGGGAAGGUUCAUG